rnacentral:rRNA from 1 species
AGGAUGAACGCUAGCGGCAGGCCUAAUACAUGCAAGCUGAACGGUAAAUAUUGUAGCAAUACAAUAUGAGAGUAGCGUAAGGGUGCGUAACACGUAUGCAAUCUGCCCUGUACAGGAGAAUAGCUCGGCGAAAGCCGGAUUAAUGCUCCGUAAUAUUAUGGUGUGGCAUCACAUUAUAAUUAAAGUUGCAAGAUGGUACAGGAUGAGCAUGCGUCUGAUUAGCUAGUUGGUAGUGUAACGGACUACCAAGGCGAUGAUCAGUAGGGGAACUGAGAGGUUGAUCCCCACACUGGCACUGAGAUACGGGCCAGACUCUACGGGGGGCAGCAGUAGGGAAUAUUGGUCAAUGGUGAGAGCCUGAACCAGCCAUGCCGCGUGCAGGAAGAAGGCCUUCUGGUUGUAAACUGCUUUUGCCGGGAUAAAAUUGCCUUGCGAGGUAAAUUGAAGGUACCCGGUGAAUAAGCACGGCUAACUACG